CCUACGGGAGGCAGCAGUGAGGAAUAUUGGUCAAUGGCCGGAAGGCUGAACCAGCCAUGCCGCGUGAGGGAAGAAGGCCUUCGGGGUGUAAACUUCUUUUUUCCGGGGAGCGUAGAAGACGGUACCUGACGAAUAAGCCACGGCUAACUACGUGCCAGCAGCCGCGGUAAUACGUAGGUGGCAAGCGUUGUCCGGAUUUACUGGGUGUAAAGGGCGUGUAGCCGGGUUGACAAGUCAGAUGUGAAAUCCUGCGGCUUAACCGCAGAACUGCAUGUGAAACUGUUGAUGUUGAGUAAUGGAGAGGCAGAUGGAAUUCCUAGUGUAGCGGUGAAAGGCGGAGAUAUUAGGAGGAACACCAGUGGCGAAGGCGGUCUGCUGGACAGCAACUGACGGUGAGGCGCGAAAGCGUGGGGAGCAAACAGGAUUAGAUACCCCAGUAGUC
rnacentral:rRNA from 1 species